UACACAACAACCUGCUGCAAACAGCCUGAGCUAAAAUACCUGACUUUCAAUAGGGCUUUCAACUCUUAAGAUUCCGGAUCCAGCUGCUGGUCUUCAAUUUUGGCUGCAACACGGGCAGAAAGCUGCAGCCUCUGUUGAGUACAACGGCAGGAGCAUGCAGAGAUAUUUUUGUCACAUUUUGUGAGAAGGGCUAAGGUUACAGACUGAAUACACCGUAUUCAUUGCAAGUAUCGAGCAAGACACAAGACUUGAGCUAAGAUUUCAGGUCAUCACUGAUAAACCAGUAGACAAAGACUACAUCAUGUCAUUAUGCUUACACAUAUACCUAAUGCUAGAAGUUAAGUAGUUCAGCUUGCAGUGGGAUCAGGGACUUGUCACAGGAGGAACAUCAAAAUACUCUUCAGCAUUGUUUUUACUUUAGAAAAAAGAAUAAAAGGGUGGCUUCUUUCA